GCAGGAGAGUGCUGGGCACCGGAAGGGGACGGGCCUUUUCUUCGCCUCUGGGCCGCUGCUCCAGCCAGCGGCCUCCUGUGCACACAGCUCCGCGCCUGGGCCUUGACUCCUCCUGCUGAAACUCCGGUCCUGCCACCGCCCAGCCCGCCUCAGCUUCCACCUGCCCUCUCCUGGUAGCCCUUUGACUGGCGGCCGAGCCGGGCCUUGUGUGCUGAGUGUGGAAUUCACUUUUGUGCAGCGCUCCAGCGCAGGGAUUCUGCACACAGGCCCUGUACGGCGGCUUUGCACAAAGUAUCUACUGAACUGAUCCUAUGCAGACUCAUUGAGGAACCAUCAGUCAUCAGUAGUCUCUGAAACAAGUGCCUAGGGAUCUUCUGACCCAUUCCUUCUGAACUGGUUUCUCAAUUUUCCUAAAAAGCAUCAUGGACGGCAAGCUACAUCCUGCUCCUCAAACAUUGGAUCCGGUUUGGGCUUCUUGUUUUUGAGAGAAUGUACCAAAAGAGAGUUCUGGAACGUUCUUCAUUAGAACAUGAAUGAAGUCCCAAUGCAGAUCACCUGGGGAAAUGAAGAUCAGUUCAGCCCAAGAGAGCAGAAUGCAGCUCUUCAUGCAGGCAAAUGUUUGAACAUAAGAAAAUACCUGAUAUGGGAAGGACGCAACAAAAGUCAUUGAUUCCAUGCUUGGCAGUACAGAACGGGGGCUGCUGGCCCCACAGCGUGACCUACUUGGAGUUUCUCCAGAGAACGGAGUGCAUUCUUCCUACGAGUAAACUGAUUGUCUUAAUUUCCUGGGGCAAAGAUACAUAUUACAUGAGGAUGCUAAUCCCUGAAUUCACCAGUGUUUCAAGAUUCAAUGAAUGAGGAUUCUUACUGCAGUACAAAUGGUAACCUCGUUUAGGAGUAGAAUUAAAUCCCAUGGGAAAAACCUGAGAACUUUGGAAUGAUCAAAGCAUAUAAUAUGAAAUUUUUCUCAUUGUUAUUUACUUGGAUGCUUGAAGUUGACAACAGUCGGUUUCUUUGAUGACAUUAACAAAGCUUUAAAAUGGUAGGAUAAGAAAACAAAAACUGAAUCUGAACCCCAGGGCAAGUGAGAGCUGCAGCAAACAUCAGUGUGAAUUGUAACCAAUGACAGGUGUGUGGCUCACACCAGGCAAGCAAGGUAAUGAUUUUGAAUGUGUUAUUUCUUUUUGUUGGACACUACUCUCCCACUCGCUUGGUUAGAAAUAAUAAUUCCCAAGGAAUAAAUACUGUGGGCAUCCAUUCUUCAACCCCACCUCCUAACUCCAACAAUAGUAGCAGAAGAAAAUUCUUUGAGAUGACAGAGAAAGCAGCUGAGCUGAGAGCUUUGGAAUGAACUUUAGAUUUGAAUGUGAAAUACUUAAGACAACCAUGAAUUGUGGAGCUUCAGCUAACGCAGUUUCUAAACCACGAUAGCACUGGACUUAUCACCCCAUAACUGUAUUUCAACUCACCUUGCUUUUAAUCAAGAUUUUUACUUCACCAGACUCUACAAUGUAAAAGCUGUCUGCUUUAUCACCCUAUAAAGAGAAAAGGACCCUGCCUCAUUCAAUAUACAGGACGGAUCUGUUCUGGGGAUGAAUCCGAGUUGUGUGUGAUGAAGGAGGCUGCUGUCUGUAGGACCUUUGCCUCAUUUGUUGCAGGAGUGUAGUAAAUGAAGCAGGGGAUUGCAGGAAGAGAAAGGAGGGUCUCAUAUUUAAGGCAGCUGAAUGCUAUCCUAAAGAACUGCAUUCUAUCCCUGCUUCUGUUCCUCUGUGAUGCUAGUUUCACAUGUGGUCACUAAUUGUGUGUUUUGAUUUUCUGGGUUUGUCUGGCUUGGGACCCCUGGACUCUGAUUUGCAGAAACUUGGAGCACUUACAGGUGCAACUGAAGUCACUUAGAAAUGUGCUUUGAACACAUGAAGCGUUAUACAAUGUUAAGUGUUGUGAGAAAUCAAGUCCUAGGUGUCUCAGACUGGGCAACCAAAAUUAGUGAACAUAUCGCCUGGCAUGAUGGGGUCCUGGUCUAUGAUGCUAAGAUAAUACAAAAACAACAACAGAGUAUAAGCAGGCCAAGCAAUCCAGGAGGCCAUAGAGAUUCUUUCUGUCAUCUGGUCUUAGCACCCUUAUUUGGCUGGUGUUGGUGGCCUGUGACAUAGAACAGCGCUACUCAAAGUGGUGGUCCGCAGACCGGCAGCCAUCAGCUGCUGGUCUGCGCGCACAUUGGGGAAAAAAAUUAUCGGUCCUCCACAUUAGAUAGCUUGAGAUAGCACUGGCAUAGAGGGCGUCAGAAGAGAGGAGCUGGUGGUCCCUCUGGAGACUUUAUCUAGAACUCAGACACUGCAGAACGUUAGGUGUUCAGCUGCGGUCGCUUGGGUGUCAUUCAGACAGCCCAAAUGUCAAUCCAGCUAUUUCAUUUCAUACAAUUUUGCAAGCUAUUAAGGCAUUAAAAGAUUUGUGCACCACAUCUAUGUCGGAAAAAAACAUUUCUACCUUAAAAGAAACAAGCUGAGUGGGAAAUGCAAGGAUUUCAACUAGGAACUAGAUAAUGCUAACAACUUUCAAAUGCUUAAAGAUAACGUUACUCUUAGCUGAAUGACCAAAUUAAUGGAAAAUGAUUUUUUAAAUGUAAAAUUAUUUGGUAAGAGAGUGUGCAUGGCACUGACAUGAUUCCUAGCAUACAAGACUUUUCCAGGCACUAAGUCUGAGAUCCACUGUUGAAAGUGUACAAAAUACAUCAUAUCCCAGCUGUCCGCAUAAAUUCAGAUCACUAAUCCCCUGGGCAAUAUCUAAGGAACGUUUAUAUACUUUUCCUCAGUUCUGUUACUUGUGGAGAUUAAAAGUGCUGCAUAAUUGGAUCAAUGACUGCAUGUGAUCCCAAACCUGACAUCUCAGCAUGGGUUUUUUGCCUUUGACUCUCCAUUUGCCCAGAGCUCACUCUUCUCAGUCCCUCAAGCAGGAGGGUUUUUAUCUUGCAAAACAGAGUGGAUUUUUGGAUGGAAUUAAUUGGCUUUGUUUGGUUAUUAACAGGCUAGAAGGUUCAUUUAUUCAAAAUUAUCUGUCACUCAAAAUAAUUAAAAUUAAUGUAUGCUGAAGACAUUAUCAAUUAUUCUUGGUCAGAUUUUUACUAGUUAGACUCAAUUCAAUUAGAUAAUUUCCUGAUGACCUAAUUCAAGUGUUAUACAAAUCACUGCUGUUGAAUUGUUUUAGAUUUUGAUAGGAACAAGAUCUAAAAUUUGUCAGAGAUCAUUUUACUAUUUAUCCGCUCUUGUUUCAUCGAGCUACACUGUGCAUUUAAAAGGCUCGUUGUGAUUGUCUAAGUCGUCUGCUAUUUUCAGGAAGAUGAGGACCUUCAUGGAACCCUGUAUCAAUAGGGAUCUUUCCUUAGUGUUUUUUCUUAAAUCACCCAAAUAAGAGUCAUUAAUUGUAUUGUACUUCCUGUAUAACUUUUGAAAAAAGGCUUUUUAAAAAUAUUCACAAGUAAGAAGUAAAUUAGAGUAAGAAAAAUGGAAUAGAACAAAUUCCUAGGGAAACUAGGUACCAUCCCAUCCCUGAAAAUAAUAAAAAAAACAACAACCUUAAAUAAGAUAUUAGUAGGAAUAAUGGCGUGAAUAAGGUCAAACUGGACAACCAAACUGGUAUCUAUGAUUCUAUGUAGUAUAAAAAAGGGGGGGGGAAUUCAAAGUCCAAAUACCUGAGAAAUGAUGCGCUCCCCAUCUCGAUACACCUUCUCCCCUAUUACAUCAACUAUCUUCAUUCGCUCUGAAACCUGGAACAGAGAGAAAAUUUCCAUUCAGCCUACAACUGCCCCUGAGGAAUUAGGACCUGAAACCAUGUGAAGCUUUUCCUAUUUUUGUGUACUACAUUAAAAAGAAUGCUUGCUAUGCUCUUUGAGAUCAGCAUGCCAUACAAUUUACAGUAAGCAUCUGGGAGUUUCUGCUUUUUCUAGUGUCAUAGAUAGGGAACCAUAUUCAACAGUGGAGUAAAUGAAGACUGACUCUU